rnacentral:rRNA from 1 species
AGAGUUUGAUCCUGGCUCAGAAUGAACGCUGGCGGCGUGUUUAAGACAUGCAAGUCGAACGGAGUAACAUGAGUAGCAAUACAAGUGUUGCUCAGUGGCGCACGGGUGCGUAACACGUGAGUUACAUGCCCUGCAGAGAGGGAUAGCCCAGGGAAACUUGGAUUAAUACCUCAUGGUCUCGCAAGAGUAAAGAUGGCCGUAAGGCUGUCGCUGCAGGAUUGGCUCGCGGCCUAUCAGCUAGUUGGUGAGGUAACGGCUCACCAAGGCUACGACGGGUACCUGGUCUGAGAGGACGAUCAGGCACACUGGAACUGAGACACGGUCCAGACACCUACGGGUGGCAGCAGUCGAGAAUCAUUCACAAUGGGGGCAACCCUGAUGGUGCAACGCCGCGUGGAGGAAGAAGGUCUUCGGAUUGUAAACUCCUGUCAUCUAGGAGCAAGGCAUGGUGGUGAAUAGCCAACAUGAUUGAUAGUACUAGAAGAGGAAGGGACGGCUAACUUCGUGCCAGCAGCCGCGGUAAUGCGAAGGUCCCGAGCGUUAUUCGGAAUCACUGGGCGUAAAGGGAGCGUAGGCGGCGUGGAAAGUCAGAUGUGAAAUCCCAGAGCUUAACUCUGGAACUGCAUCCGAUACUACCAUGCUAGAGUAUUGGAGGGGUAACUGGAAUUCUCGGUGUAGCAGUGAAAUGCGUAGAUAUCGAGAGGAACACUCGUGGCGAAAGCGAGUUACUGGACAAUUACUGACGCUGAGGCUCGAAAGCUAGGGGAGCAAAAGGGAUUAGAUACCCCUGUAGUCCUAGC